rnacentral:tRNA from 1 species
GUCUCCUUCGUCUAGCGGUUAGGACAUCGCCCUCUCACGGCGGUAACAGGGGUUCGAGUCCCCUAGGAGACGCCA